rnacentral:lncRNA from 1 species
CACUCCUUGACCUCCUCUCUUGUUCCUAGUUGCUCCAAUGUUCCCUUAUAACUUCCAAUUGGUGCUUGGCUUGAUCAAUUGCUUGAUGUGUUCAUCGGGUCAACUUUCAGAUAAUUGCAAUUUGGUCCUUUUUCGGCUCUUUUCUCCUGAAUUCCACUAUUUCCAUAGAAUUUCCUACAUUGCAUGAAUUUGACAAAGUUAAGUAACAAUUCAAUCAUUUUACUUGUAUUUAAGUCAUGUUUGUGAUGUAAAUAAGUGUGCAAAAACACACUUAUCAGCUUCGCGGCCAUACAUUGUGCAAGCAAUGGUGGACAGUUUUCAAGAAUUGGACGACUCCGAAGCAUCGUAGUCGAGGGCAGCUAGAAUGUCUUCCAGACGUAGUGCAAAAACGAUGAUUGCUACUUCUCGCCGAACCUGAACUGCUUUUCCAACUACCAUGCUGUUUGUGUGCUUGCAUAGGAGUUCUCUCUUUUAGACAAGAUGGUGGUUUUUGUUGAAGGAAAUAUGUUUUAUUACAUCGGAAAAAGAUGGUUUGUUUUGGGAUAAUGUUGUAAACUGCACUUGCUGCUACUUUUCUAGUUUUGAAUGUUUCUACUAUUGAAAUGAACAAGUUCGAUUUUGCAAAUAUAUGCAUUUUUGCUAUAUUUAUG